AUGGCUAAAUACUGGUGGAGCAGUUCGAUUGAUAGAAGAUCUCUUCACUGGAUAUCAUGGAAAAAUCUCACGGUACCAAAAUGCAAAGGAGGUAUGGGAUUUCGUGAUUAUCAUCUGUUUAACUUGACACUAUUGGGGAAACAUGGGUGGAGGUUUAUGACCAAUCCCAACUCACUAUGUGCCAGAGUUUUGAAGGGGAGGUAUUUCCCCGACAGUGAUUUUAUGCAGGCCCAAGUGCCACACUCUGCAUCGGCUGUAUGGCGUGCCAUCAUUGCCGGGCGGGAA
rnacentral:rRNA from 1 species